rnacentral:rRNA from 1 species
UACGUAGGUGGCAAGCGUUGUCCGGAUUGACUGGGCGUAAAGCGCACGCAGGCGGUCGUGCACGUGGGGUGUGAAAACUGGCGGCUUAACUGCCAGAGGCCACCUCAUACGGCGCGACUCGAGCCCUGCAGAGGUCCAUGGAAUUGCCGGUGUAGUGGUGAAAUGCGUAGAGAUCGGCAGGAACACCCAGGGGGAAACCAGUGGACUGGGCAGGAGCUGACGCUCAGGUGCGAAAGCGUGGGGAGCGAACCGG